AAUAGGUCCAAAUUGCCACUCUGCAGUUGACACACAGCAAGCUUCUUCAAGAAUACAAUAAUUCAUUGAAAACAAUUGAAGAACUAAAAAGGAAAGCGUCAGAAAAAGUGGAUAAGGUGGUGUUGCAGGAGCUACAUGAAAAAGUGGACCUGGCAGAGAAGGCACUGGCUUCCAAGCAGCUUCAGAUGGAUGAGAUGAAGCAGACCAUCGCAAGCAGGAGGACCUGGAAGCCAUGACUGUUCUCAGGGCUCAGGUGAAGGUUUACUGUUCAGACUUUUGUCCUGAAAGAGCAGCAAGAGGGAAAAUUCAUGAAGAAAAGGAGCAGCUGGCCUUGCAGCUGACAAUUUUGUUGAAAGAGAAAAAUGCUUUUGAAAAAGGAGGCAGUAGGCAGUCCUUGAUGGAAAUACAGAGCCGCCAUGGGGCGAGAACAAGUGACCCUCACCAGCAGGCUUACCUUGUUGAAAGA